UGUAGGAGUGAGCCUGCUCGCGAUAGCGGUCAUUCAGUUACUUCAAAGUUGACUGACACACCGCUAUCGCGAGCAGGCUCACUCCUACA
rnacentral:misc_RNA from 1 species